rnacentral:hammerhead_ribozyme from 1 species
GCACUGCUGAGGAGUCCCAUAAUAAGACGAAACGGCCGUUCAAUGC